rnacentral:rRNA from 1 species
UACAGAGGGUGCGAGCGUUAAUCGGAAUUACUGGGCGUAAAGGGCGCGUAGGUGGUUAAUUAAGUCAGAUGUGAAAUCCCUGGGCUUAACCUAGGAAUUGCAUAUGAAACUGAUUAGCUGGAGUACGGGAGAGGGAAGUGGAAUUUCCGGUGUAGCGGUGAAAUGCGUAGAUAUCGGAAGGAACACCAGUGGCGAAGGCGACUUCCUGGCCCGUUACUGACACUGAGGCGCGAAAGCGUGGGGAGCGAAC